UACGUAGGCAGCGAGCGUUGUUCGGAGUUACUGGGCGUAAAGAGUGCGUAGGCGGUUUUCUAAGUUUGGUGUGAAAUCUCCCGGCUCAACUGGGAGGGUGCGCCGAAGACUGGAAGGCUUGAGUAUGGGAGAGGUAAGCGGAAUUCCUGGUGUAGCGGUGAAAUGCGUAGAUAUCAGGAAGAACACCUAUGGCGAAGGCAGCUCUCUGGGACGGUACUGACGCUGAGACGCGAAAGCGUGGGGAGCGAACAGG
rnacentral:rRNA from 1 species